rnacentral:rRNA from 1 species
GAUCCUGGCUCAGGACGAACGCUGGCGGCGCGCCUAACACGUGCAAGUCGAACGAGAGAUGAAGAGCUUGCUCUUCAAAUCGAGUGGCGAACGGGUGAGUAACGCGUGAGGAACCUGCCUCAAAGAGGGGGACAACAGUUGGAAACGACUGCUAAUACCGCAUAAGCCCACGGCUCGGCAUCGAGCAGGGGGAAAAGGAGCAAUCCGCUUUGAGAUGGCCUCGCGUCCGAUUAGCUAGUUGG